AUCAUGUGUAAAUAACAGCUGGCUUUUGGCUCAGUUUUGUGAAUGUACAUAUGUGGUCUGCCACUGUGAGUGAUGGAAGGUUAGAUGGCUGGUCACUAACAUCAGUUGAGAGGAGCAUCCAGGUUAUCUUAGGAGAGGACAUGGGUUGCUGCUUAGUUAUAUGUGUGGUGUCGAAGUUGUAGCUGUGUACAGGAUGUAUGUUUAGGGCGGUAAUAUGGUAAUGCCGGCUUGGCUUUGCGAGGUUAUAGGGUAAUGUUGGAUAGCCAACCAUGUCUUUUUAACUUGAUGUUUGGAGUCCAACCCCCCCUUUGUCCGUUUUAUGAUCUAGCGUGACUUGUUUGGCAAAAAAUCUAGAAAUGGCGGACAGGCCCAAAGUAAAUACCAAUUGUCCCGUAAAAUAUAAAUCUCAAUUCUCACUCACAGAUUAUGACCAAGUGAUGUUAGACCGAUCUAUUUGCUGACUUAUUUUUUACUUUGAAAUACCAGUCUGGUUCAAAUUAUACACUGAUAAUUGAGAUUCCAAGUAAGAUUGAUAACCAGACUAACAUGUAAACCUUUUGCAGGCACCUCUUCCAGCUGUAGCACCUGCUGGCUCAACAUUGCUUGAAAUGGCAUGUGAGUUAAUUCUCUGAUGCUGAACUUGAUGGUUUGCACUAGCAGGUGCCUGAAUUUGCGCAACAUUUGUACGCGGGUCUGAAGGUGCUGCUCCAUCAAGUCUGUUCUCACUCGGCAAAUGAGAUCAUGAAGCUUCAUCACCAGCUACAGGCAUAUUAAUGAGAAAAGUAUUAACCCUUUGGUGCAUGAAGAAGUACAAAACUGAAGAAUAACAAAUUACCUUUGAAUCUGUCGGUGGCAAUUCAUCAAACAACUCAGGUGUCGGCGACCUUGGUACGUCCCAUGGCUCCUUUAGGUCAUGUACGGUCUGAAAUAAAUUGAUGAAAUUGGUUCCUAUUUUAUAAUGAAAAUAAAUAUGGAAGAAUAAAUACAAAUGUUGUACAAUACGUAAUUUAUGUACCUCUCCGGCCUGAAGGCCGUGCUUAUCAAAAAUAGCACAGACUUUGCGCA